rnacentral:rRNA from 1 species
UGGAGUGGGGGAUAACCCAGCGAAAGUUGGGCUAAUACCGCAUGAGCUCUGAGGAGGAAAGCGGGGGACUCGCAAGAGCCUCGCGCUGCAGGAGCGGCCGAUGUCCGAUUAGCUAGUUGGUGGGGUAAAGGCCUACCAAGGCGACGAUCGGUAGCUGGUCUGAGAGGAUGAUCAGCCACACUGGGACUGAGACACGGCCCAGACUCCUACGGGAGGCAGCAGUGGGGAACUUUGGACAAUGGGGGCAACCCUGAUCCAGCCAUGCCGCGUGAGUGAAGAAGGCCUUCGGGUUGUAAAGCUCUUUCGGACGGAACGAAAUGGUUACGGUUAACACCUGUGACUGAUGACGGUACCGUAAGAAGAAGCACCGGCUAACUACGUGCCAGCAGCCGCGGUAAUACGUAGGGUGCGAGCGUUAAUCGGAAUUACUGGGCGUAAAGCGUGCGCAGGCGGUUUCGUAAGCUGGAGGUGAAAUCCCCGGGCUCAACCUGGGAAUGGCCUUCAGGACUGCGAGGCUAGAGUGCGGCAGAGGGAGGUGGAAUUCCACGUGUAGCAGUGAAAUGCGUAGAUAUGUGGAGGAACACCGAUGGCGAAGGCAGCCUCCUGGGCCAGCACUGACGCUCAUGCACGAAAGCGUGGGGAGCAAACAGGAUUAGAUACCCUGGUAGUCCACGCCCUAAACGAUGUCAACUAGGUGUUGGGGAAGGUGACUUCCUUAGUACCGCAGCUAACGCGUGAAGUUGACCGCCUGGGGAGUACGGCCGCAAGGUUAAAACUCAAAGGAAUUGACGGGGACCCGCACAAGCGGUGGAUGAUGUGGAUUAAUUCGAUCAACGCGAAAAACCUUACCUACCCUUGACAUGCCAGGAACUCUGCUGAGAGGUGGAGGUGCCCGAAAGGGAGCCUGGACACAGGUGCUGCAUGGCUGUCGUCAGCUCGUGUCGUGAGAUGCUGGGUUAAGUCCCGCAACGAGCGCAACCCUUGUCGUUAAUUGCCAUCAUUUAGUUGGGCACUUUAGCGAGACUGCCGGUGACAAACCGGAGGAAGGUGGGGAUGACGUCAAGUCCUCAUGGCCCUUAAGGGUAGGGCUUCACACGUCAUACAAUGGCGCAUGCAGAGGGUUGCGAAGCCGCGAGGUGAAGCCAAUCCCAGAAAGUGCGUCGUAGUCCGGAUUGCAGUCUGCAACUCGACUGCAUGAAGUCGGAAUCGCUAGUAAUCGCGGAUCAGCAUGUCGCGGUGAAUACGUUCCCGGGUCUUGUACACACCGCCCGUCACACCAUGGGAGUGGGUUCCACCAGAAGCAGGUAGCCUAACCGCAAGGGGGGCGCCUACCACGGUGAGAUUCAUGACUGGGGUGAAGUCGUAACAAGGUA